UGAGCUCCUCAACCACGGUCGGGUCAACUGAAAAGCAAGAUGGCGGACUCCACUUCAGCUACUGUACUGUUGUCGGAAGCAAUAAGUGAGCUGCCGUGCAGUAAAAAAACACUUCGUUUGGUCAGAUGCCAUGACGAUGCACUUGAUAAACCCCUGGGAAGACAGUGUAGCUGUAUCGGGGACCAAAGAGGCCAGAAAAGAAAUGCCGCCGAUUACGACCCCUCGAGACAGCUACUGCGGUUUUCGUCGGGAAGCAAGUGCGGGUUAAAAUAGAAAUCCUGACGAUGGAAUACAGCUUCACCUAUGAAAACUACAGCCACACUGCACGGUUUCGCACUGCUACAAAACGACUUCAGAAACACUGAUGUCAUGAUUGGUGAGCAUAACCACAGCUGCAAUCUGAAUCUGUGUGCUGAUAUGAUGUGUGGAACUCUGCAUCUGACUGAUCUGCUUCAGGAUGAUGAGGGGAUAUGGAAAUGGGGUGUGUACGUCCUCUUCGCUGGAAUAUGUGUUGCAGUUCCAAUUGUACACGAACAGCAGGAUGGAAACCAUUGUUGCAGCAUCCCAGCCUGAAGAACAGACAACUGAGCAACAAGAGACAAGUUCGGAACCUGCACAGACCUCACAGAGAAAGUAGCCCAAAAACCAGACUGUGAUGAUGCAGGUCCUAGAGCUCUAAAAAGCUGUGGAAAUGAGAGCUACAAAAGCUGAAAAAAAGGAACGAAGGUUUCAAAGAAAAGUACUGAGGCUGCAGGAAGGAGUUAAUAGAAUGCAACAAGAAACGCUUCGAUAAGCAAAUUAAAAUGGUGCAAGCGUGAUGGUGUACUGAGGAAAGAGCUUACAUUUCCUUCAGUUCAUAUUGUGUGUUCCUCAAACUCAAGGAAAUGUUUUCUCCUUCAAAGAAAUGUUUCAUUCGAUGCAGACUUAUUUUUCAAUCAUCGCCACCACAAUAAUUUUCUUUUUGCCAUAACAGAGAAAUCUUGCAUACGUAGUUUGUUUUUAGCUUUAUAACAGCGCAUUGUCCUUGCAAAGCCUCAUUAAAUGUAUAUGUGUAAUGUAUUAUGUCAGUGAUUCUCGGCUUUUGUUACUUAAGCUGAAAAAGAGUCAUUGCGUGAAAAAAAACAAAAAACACAAGAAAACAUAAGCCCCAUAUUACCGUAGUUAUAAAAUCUACUCAUAAGGAAACAUGACAUAAAAUUAUCCACUUUAGAGAAAUGUACUUGCCUGCAAUAAAUAUGCUGUCAUAGUGUU